UCAAACUUGGUCAUUUAGAGGAAGUAAAAGUCGUAACAAGGUUUCCGUAGGUGAACCUGCGGAAGGAUCAUUACCGAGCUCGGCCCCCCCUUCCGGGGCGGGUCACGACCUCUCACCCUUGCGUACCAGCCCCAUCUUCGUUGCUUUGGCGGGCCGCCCCUGUGGGCGCCGGCGGAAACGCUGGAGCGCGCCCGCCAAAGGCCCACACAACGCGAACCUCAGGGUGCCGUUACACGUCUGAACCUACAUGCAAACAUGUCAAAACUUUCAACAACGGAUCUCUUGGUUCUAGCAUCGAUGAAGAACGCAGC
rnacentral:misc_RNA from 1 species